GCAAGUCUGGUGCCAGCAGCCGCGGUAAUUCCAGCUCCAAUAGCGUAUAUUAAAGUUGUUGCAGUUAAAAAGCUCGUAGUUGAACCUUGGGCCUGGCUGGCCGGUCCGCCUCACCGCGUGCACUGGUCCGGCCGGGCCUUUCCUCCUGGGGAGCCGCUUGCCCUUCACUGGGUGUGUCGGGGAACCAGGACUUUUACUUUGAAAAAAUUAGAGUGUUCAAAGCAGGCCUAUGCUCGAAUACAUUAGCAUGGAAUAAUAGAAUAGGACGUGUGGUUCUAUUUUGUUGGUUUCUAGGACCGCCGUAAUGAUUAAUAGGGAUAGUCGGGGGCAUCAGUAUUCAAUUGUCAGAGGUGAAAUUCUUGGAUUUAUUGAAGACUAACUACUGCGAAAGCAUUUGCCAA
rnacentral:rRNA from 1 species